CGAACGCUGGCGGCAGGCUUAACACAUGCAAGUUGAGCGGGAAUUGAGAGUGGCUUGCUACUUGAGAUGAGAGCAGCGCACUGGUGAGUAACACGUGGGAACGUACCUUUUAGUGGGGGACAACAUUUGGAAACGGAUGCUAAUACCGCAUAAGCCCUGAGGGGGAAAGGAGCAAUUCGCUAAAAGAUCGGCCCGCGGAAGAUUAGGUAGUAGGUGGGGCAACGGCCUACCUAGCCGACGAUCUAUAGCUGGUCUGAGAGGACGAUCAGCCACAUUGGAACUGAGACACGGUCCAGACUCCUACGGGAGGCAGCAGUGAGGAAUAUUGGGCAAUGGAGGGAACUCUGACCCAGCCAUGCCGCGUGAGUGAAGAAGGUUUUCGGAUUGUAAAGCUCUUUCAGAUGGGAAGAUGAUGACGGUACCAUCAGAAGAAGCACCGGCUAACUUCGUGCCAGCAGCUGC
rnacentral:rRNA from 1 species